GAUGAAGAACGCAGCGAAAUGCGAUACGUAAUGUGAAUUGCAGAAUUCAGUGAAUCAUCGAAUCUUUGAACGCAUAUUGCGCUCUCUGGUAUUCCGGAGAGCAUGCUUGUUUGAGUAUCAGUAAACACCUCAACUUCCAUAUCUUUUUUGAAAUGGGAGUUGGACUUGAGUGAUCCCAACGCUUUUCCUCACCGAAAAGUGGCGGGUUACUUGAAAUGCAGGUGCAGCUGGACUUUUCUCUGAGCUAUAAGCCUAUCUAUUUAGUCUGCCUAAAAAACAGAUUAUUACCUUUGCUGCAGCUAACAUAAAGGAGAUUAGUUCUUGUGCUGACUGAUGCAGGAUUCACAAAGACAGGCUUCGGCCGACUUUGUAAACUCGAUCUCAAAUCAAGUAAGACUACCCGCUGAACUUAAGCAUAUCAAUAAGCGGAGGA
rnacentral:misc_RNA from 1 species